rnacentral:tRNA from 3 species
GAUCCGGUAGUUCAGCUGGUUAGAAUGCCGCCCUGUCACGGCGGAGGUCGCGGGUUCGAAUCCCGUCCGGAUCGCGA